rnacentral:lncRNA from 1 species
UUCCUUGUUUCAAAGUUACUCUUUAAUAAGGUGCUCAAGAAGUUCUUUGUAACUCAGAAACGUCAAGCAGAUUUUUCUUGCCUCCUUGGAGGUGCUCUGUGAGGUCAUAGUGGACCCCAUGAAGACACUCAGGGACCCCAUAUUAUGUCAUGCCAGGAGGCACCACUUUGCAGUAGUGCCUCAAGCCCGCAAGGAGGGUGCUUGCUGGCUGCUGGCGACGAGUAGCAUGGAGCAACUGAGGGGGGCAGCCGCUCGCCGCUGUUGCAUUUUGUUCUUACUUCUCCACCUCCUGGUGGCUCUGUGUCAUGGCCAACCCCAGGAUGUCCCAUGGGAAGCACUGAGUCCCGAUGAUCGUGUUGGUGAUGUGUAUCCAGCAUAUCCCAUGGAAGGUGUUUUGGAACGUGGCAAGGAUCCCAGGGAUCUGCCUGUGCGCCGCAUAUCUGAGCUGCACCGUUUUCGUCAGCCUCAAGGCUACCCCAGGGAUGUGGCCUCAGGUGCUGGCUCUGCAGCUUAUCAGUGGGCUCCUGAUUUUCAGCGUUGGAGGAACCGCAUGGGUAAGCGCUGUGCCUAGAUUUCGUUUGAGAGAUGCCAUGUAGCAUCCAGAAGGCCAGCGUGACCCCUCUG